rnacentral:rRNA from 1 species
UACAGAGGUGGCAAGCGUUGUUCGGAAUUACUGGGCGUAAAGGGCGCGUAGGCGGCCUUCUAAGUCAGACGUGAAAUCCCCCUGCUUAACCUGGGAACUGCGUCUGAUACUGGGAGGCUUGAGUAUGGGAGAGGGAUGUAGAAUUCCAGGUGCAGCGGUGAAAUGCGUAGAUAUCUGGAGGAAUACCGGUGGCGAAGGCGGCAUCCUGGACCAUAACUGACGCUGAGGCGCGAAAGCUAGGGGAGCAAACGGG